CCCUGCGGUAGCCACCUAAGGUGGGCUGGAGCCACUGCCCAACCCUAUCCACUUCUACCCUAGGCCUCAGUUUCCCCUUUCCUCACACAGGGCACUAAUAACAAGGAGCUAGUCUUGCCCACAGAUUGGAAGAGC